UCUAGUGUGUGUGGAGAGCUCAGCCGGACCCGUGUGAUCAGCUGUGAUCGUGGGAAACGGACAAAAAUCCGUCUUUGGAGCAGAAACUCGAGAGAGAAUCCACACUGAAGCGCAUCAUGCAUCAUGGAGUUCAGGUGAUUAUUGUGCAAAAAUAAAUCAUCGUAGUGAGUUUGUGAUGAGGCGGACUGCAGACUGCAGCGGAGGACCCUCCGCUGGAAUUAUUGCGCAGUUUUUAAAAUAACGGAAAAACGGGAACACUCAAGGCACAGAGUAUGUCUGCAAAAGAUAACGCCUGCCGAAAAUUCCAGGCCAAUAUUUUCAACAAGAAUAAAUGCCAGAACUGCUUCAAAGCUCGAGACGCGCACCUGCUGAGUGAUGAAGACUUCACACAGGCAAAACCCAUCUAUGGUGGAUGGCUGCUCCUGGCACCUGAAGGAACAAACUUUGACAAUCCUCUGCACAGAUCACGGAAAUGGCAGAGGCGUUUUUUCCUUCUGUAUGAACAUGGACUCCUGCGUUAUGCGCUGGAUGACAUGGCCAGCACUCUUCCACAGGGCACCAUAAACCUGAAUCAGUGUGUGGAUGUUGUGGACGGUGAGAGCCGGACGGGUCAGAAACACUCGCUGUGCAUCUGCACACCGGACAAAGACCAUUACAUACGUGCUGAGAGCAAAGAGAUCAUACAUGGGUGGCAGGAGGCACUGAUGGUGUUCCUACGAACCAACAAACAAAACCAGAAGAAGAAACGGAAAGUGGAAACACCAACGCCACAGGAACCAGGUCCUGCGAAGGUGACAGUCACCAGUACCAGCAGCAGCAGCAGUAUGGUGUGUCUCCCCAGCACUAUAGCUCAAGCAAAGCGAGUGCCAUCCACCAGAGCCACCCUGUGGCAGGAGGAAACAUGGAGUCGAGCCACUUUACCCACAAGCUGCAGCACCGGCAGCCUGAGUCAGCUGGAUUCAGGAAACGCAAGUGUUGGCCGUAAGCCACGGGUGGAGAGUGGAUAUUUUUCGCUGGAAAAAUCCAAACCUGAAGAAGACGAAGAACGACAGCAUCAUCGCCAGCAGGAGCAAGAGCCUUCGCCACCACCACAGCAGCAUCUGCUUUCUUCCUCCUCUUCCUCUCGCUCCAGGUAUCUCUCCUUUGAUCACGAGCUCUUCAGCUCUCCAAUCAGCUCACACAAACACACGUCACAUGACCCACACAGCGCUGCUAGCACACAGACUUACGGCAUUGCACAUAACGCCUGCGCUCACAAACACAACGCACAGAGACUCAGCAAAUCAGAGGAGCACGUUCUAGCGCUGGAUUCCCCGCCCUCGUCGGAUGCAACUCUCUGUCCCCUUCCCAGCCCAGACCGGCUCUCCAGUCCAAACUCGCACGCAAACGUCCUCCCAUCGUCCCUGUCUUCCUCUCAGAGCUCUUUAGACUCUGAGCAGAGUCCGGAGAGCCGUGUGGGCAGGGCGGGGCGAGGUGGGCAGGGUUACGCCGCCCUGGCAGAUGUGCCCCGGGCACGGAGACUCAGUCACCGGGAUGCGUACCGAUCCAGUCAGAAACGGCAGGAGCUGCGAGCGCGCACGAGGAGCCCGGGCAGGGAGGAAGUGGAACGGCUGUUUGGACGUGAACGAAGCAGACGUUCACAGGUCAUCGAGAGAUUUGAGUGUCAUGACACUGUCAGCACUCCAGAGCAAAUGGACACAACCAAUUCUUCAACAGACCCCGCCCCUUCUUAUUCUAAAACAGCCAAUCAGAGAGCAGGACGCAAUGAGAGACGCCUCUCCAAUCAGAAACAGGAAUUUUCAUUGGAUUCAGCUAAAGGCCGGACAGAUGACGUUUCUUCACUAGCUGGUUAUCGCAGGGCCAAAAGUCUGGAUCGCAGAGCCACAGAGACACUCAUGACUCCGGACCUGCUGAACUUUAAGAAAGGAUGGAUGACCAAACUGUACGAAGAUGGAUUGUGGAAGAAGCACUGGUUUGUUCUGACCGAUCAGAGCCUGAGGUUCUACCGCGACUCCAUCGCUGAGGAGGCCGCUGAUGUGGACGGAGAGGUCGAUCUGUCAACGUGCUACGAUGUGACCGAAUUCCCAGUUCAGAGGAACUAUGGCUUCCAAAUCCUUAGUAAGGAAGGGUUAUUCACGCUGUCUGCUAUGACCUCUGGGAUACGUCGGAACUGGAUUCAGGCCAUUCUGAAGAACAUGCGGCCCACCGUUGCUCCUGAUGUCACACGGAAAAACGUGUCUCUGAAACUUUCAGUUCUUAUGCCCAGUUCCCUUCCAGAAGAGCGAACCAGAUCAAAUGUGGAGCAAAACUACAUCCAGCCACCUUCUAACUCUUCGCAACUCUCUAACAGCUCUGUAGUUGAAGCUAAAAAGUCGCACGAGGACAUCACAGACUCCGCGCCUACUUCCGAUCACCGUAAGAGUCGAGUCAACAAGCGUGAGGGACGGUCUAAAACCUUCGACUGGUCUGAGUUCCGCCCAGGACAGGAAAACAAGAGCGGACAACCCUCAAUAAAGAGGGCAGACACUUCAGUAAUUAUCUCAUCUUCUCCUUCCUCCACCUCCUCUGGUGACCCCUCUCCCAUCUCUAGCACCUCUUCUCAUCAGACAUCAUCCUCGAUUACUACCACCAGCCAUACUGAUAAGUUGCCACAGCAAGAUGAAGAAGUCAUGCAGGAAUAUAUGCACCGCAAUCAGAUGGCACCUAAAGCAGGCACAGUCAAUGCAACAACGGUGGCGGAGCCCCCAUCAAAGCUCCCCCAUAAAGUGCCACAGGAACAGGUGAGAAUGGAUGUAGACCAUGCCAGAGACGCACAGGAGGUCGACAGUAAAAGCACGGCCCGCAGAAACUCUGAUGUCCAAGUGGAAAUUGAGCAGAGGUGGCAUCAGGUAGAAACAACACCCCUCAGAGAAGAAAAGCAGGUACCGAUCACUGGCAGCUCAAAUGUACCUGUUGGAGAAAGAGCAGAGCUGACCCCUGCACUGGAAAAAGAGUUAGGUCAGGCACAAAGGGAUCUGGCGAGACUCCAGCAGCAGAACAGCAUCUUACAGGAGCAACUUCAGGAUGCCCAUGGAAGAGAACAGAGUGCCAGGGAAGGAUAUGUACUGCAGAGUGACACGACCGCUGCAAAGCCUUCGCCUGGUGCAGCGUCUACCUCGGUUCACCGAGCACCAUGGCAACGACUCAGCAAGCUGAACCAGGAUCUAAAGUCCGAGCUGGAGUCCCAGCGACGGAAGCAGGAUAAGGCCAAUCAUCAAGUUAGCAGGUUGCGGCGUAGCUACAGCGAAGCGAAAGAUAUAAUAGGACACCAUGAGGCAGAGAUCGAGGCCUUGGAGGACAAGCUAACGGCUGCCAUGGCAGAUAUUGUAGCGAGUGAGCAGGCUGUGGCACGAAUGCGUAGCGAGCUAAAAAUCGAGCGGGUUCGAUGUCAAGAACGUGAGGAAGAAUGGGUCCGAAAUGAGACGACGUUACGGUCGCAGCUGCGAGAUAGCGAGGAACGUCUUCGGCAAGUCGAGGCUAGUUUGCUAGAGAAGAACCAGGAACUGAGACAGCUUGAGCAGAAGCAAGCUUUGCAGAGGGACCAGCACAAUGAGGUUCAGAGGCUACAGGAGAGACUUGCUGAGGCCACGGGACGUCUGAUUUCCAUGGAGGAAGCUCAAAAUAUGAGAGAGGAGCGGGAGAGGAAAGAGCAGCGAAGCCUGGAGGAGAAACAUGAGCGGGAGCGGCAGGGACUGACCCGGAGAUUGGUGGAAUCCGAAGAGAGGAGGCAUGAAAUAGAAGAGCAACUGCAAGAGGCUCAAGAACAAGUGGAGGCACUGCUGAGAGGGAGCGGCGGGAUGGAAACUGUGGAACUCAGGGAGGAAGUUCGUCGUCUUCAGCAGGAGUUGGAGGCGCAGGCGGAUAUGGUGGAAAUGCUGCGAGAGAGCGUGAGGAGCCUGGAGGAGGAACGUGACCAGCUUACUUGCCGCUGUCAGGAACUCCUCAAUCAGAUUGCAGAGGCCGACCGAGAGGUAGGAAAGCAACAGGCAUGUUUAACGAUGGUGGAAACAGACUAUCACUCUCUUGAGAGCUCGUAUGAGCGUGUCUCAGAAGAAUUUGCUAGGAUAAGUCAUGUGCUACGAGAGAAGGAAGAGGAAGUGAAGCAGACAAAGGAAAUGUACGAGCAGCUAAUCAGGCAGAAGGAGCAGGACUUGAGCGAGGCCCUCAUCAAGAUGGCUGCCUUAGGCAGUAGUCUAGAAGAAACAGAACUUUGCUUGCAGCAAAAACAGGAAAUUCUUUCCAAAAUGGAGCGUGACUAUCCAGGAAUGGUAGAGUCCCGUAAAGCGGAACAGCAGCUUCAGGCAAAACUGGUGGUUGCAGAGGAUCGGAUUGCUGAGCUGGAGGAACACCUCAAUGCCCUGCGACUCGGAUAUGCAGAUCUCAGAAUGCGACGUUAUUGCUCGCAGGAAGACCUGCUUGAUGGUUUGAAAGAGAUGCAACAUGAUGUUUCCUCAUCAUCAAGCACCUCCCAACUCCUGCUUGCAAGAAGCAGCUCCGAGACGGAAAUGUCAUUGGUACAGCGCCAGAGGAUUCGCUUUUCCACUAUUCAGUGCCAAUCCUAUCACCGGUCCCAGGGAGCAGACAAGUUUCAGACAGAAAAUACAUCUUUGGAUCUGACACAAGAUCUGAGCCUAGACCACAUGCAUGACCUGAGCCUGACCCAAGAUAUCGGUGUAGUCAGUGACCGUUCAUUCCAGCAGUGUAGAGAUCCAGAGAAGUUCAUCUCCAUUAUACAUGCUCUGGAAACCAAGCUAUUGUCCACAGAAGAGAAGCUCAGGAACCUCACAGAGAAGAUACGGGACCAGCCCGAUCUUUCAUUGAUGCAGGAACACCUGAGCACCAGAUCUACCAUUGAGGACUACACAAAUAAAACCUGUGAUGAAUUACCAAUGGAUGAACCCAGUCAGAAAUUCCUCAAGACUUUUGGUGAGCAGGACAGUGAGGAAUAUGAGAGGGCAUUGGCACUAGUAGAGUCUUGCACAGAAAGAGUCAGAGAAAUUCUCAGCAAUCAGAAAGAGACCAGUUCUGAUGAAUCUCUCAUUUGUACCCUUGCAGAAGUAGAGAAACGGCUGGUUUGCGCCACCAUGUACCUGAGGAAGGGCAGCACAUUGUAUGAGUCGUGCCAGAUCUUUGAUGCACCAGAUGUGCAUUUAAUGCAGGAAGGUAUAAUGCGGUUUGCCAGAACGUUAACCUUUGAAGCUGAGAUUCUGGAGAAGAUGGGGUUCUCUCUGCAAGACCUGAACUCUGAUAUUAUGUUGGCCCUGAACUCCAUUCACAAGGAUGCCGAAAACAUCAAGAAGAACUGCAACGGCUGUCUCUCAGUUGUUUAUGCUGAUGUACUUACAAGAAAACUUAUGCUGGAGACCAUGUUCUUAGCAGAGGUGGACAAGCUCGAGAUGAGUAAACUAUCAAAUAAUGCUUUUUCACAGGAUGUCAUCAAGAACGUCUGCAUUAGUGCUGAGCUUGCCUAUUCGCUUCAGAAUCUGACCAUGAAUUUCCAGGAAAAAUUCGAUGAGCUUCAAAAGGACUUGCUCCAGGUGAACGAGACCUUGAAACAAAGGGACAUGGCUCUGACAGAUGCUGUUAGCGCAUCAAAACGCGCUCACAUUGAGAGUAUGACCCAAAGUGGUUCUGAUCAUCUUGGUGACAUCGCCCCUCCUGAACUUGUCCCCUAUAUGGAGCAGAUUGAGAUUGAGGAAGCUCAGAGUUUAGCGGCAGAGAUUGUCCGCAGACAUUUAGCAGGCGGCAUGCUAUCCCAUAGCGCAGAAUCAGAAUCGCAUCUGCAAAUGAGCUGGGAAAAUCUCAUCGCUGAGCUCAAAAAGCAAGCAAAAGCCCUCCGCAGUCUCUCUCAGGAAAUUGAGAGGAUCUGCGAGGAAGGAGAAACAAAUUCACUUUCUGGACUUGCGGAUGCCAUCCAGAUGAGUUUGUGGCAUGAUGACUCCAGCGCUGCUUGCAUGCGAGAAGCUUUGAUGCAGGCGCAGGUUGCAUAUGUUGCUUGCAGGUUGCGAGCGGGUCACACGAGGGAACUUUCUCUCUGUCAGGAGACUAGCCGCAACAUGGCAGCGCUCGUCCAGGAACAUGCUGAGAGUGUUGCAGCCAUCCAAAGGCACUACCAGAGCUGCUUGGAGAAAGAACAUCUUAGCUUCACUGGCACUAUCAGUUCCUUGCAGGAGGAGAACGACAUGCUUCGAGGAGAACUAUCCUAUAAGCUCAGGGAGCUCCAGGAGCAACAGCAGAACUUAACUCAGCUGGAAGAGGCGUUUCAUAGGGAGAAAGACGAGCUCAAAAGCAGGCAUGCAGAUGAGAUGGGAAGGGCCGAGCAGGAACAGAUAACCAGAGAGCUCGAACUAAUGGAGCGUGCCGCCAAUAGCCAACGCAGGCUGGAGACCCUGCUGCUAGGAAUGGAAGAUGCUGAGUUGAGGCAUAAGGAGCAAAUUCGAAAACUUGAGCAGGAAUUUCAGAGUAAGGUCCAGGAACUAGAACACGCCAACAGAGAGGACCUCCGCAAGCUACAAGAAUGCUACAGCCAGACCAUCUGCUCGCUGGAGGAGAGGAGCGAACAAGUGGAGAAUGCAUGUCCCAUGGAGGAAGGGGAUGGAACUGAUCAGGUAACGUGCAGGGAGUCACUCCUCCGAAUCCGAGAGCUGGAAAUGCAGUUGAGCAGCAUGAGGGAGGAGCUGGAACAGAAACCACUGGAUGGAGAUCUGACCAGCCUGAAGGAGAAAUACCAGCGAGACUUGGAAAGCCUCAAGGCGACGUGCGAGCGUGGAUUUGCAGCGAUGGAGGAGACGCAUCAGAAGGUGAUCGAAGACAUCCAAAGGCAGCAUCAGCGAGAGAUCCGGAAACUUCUGGAGGAGAAAGAAAGACUGCUGGAGGAGGAAACAAACGCCACUAUUGCUGCGAUUGAGGCCAUGAAAAAUGCUCAUCGCGAGGAACUGGAGAAAUCGCAGCGGUCGCAGAUGAGCGGCGUGAGCGCAGACAUUCAGGAGCUGCGCAGACAGUAUGAAGAGGAGUUGCAGUCUAUCCAUCGUGAGCUGGAGGUUUUGUCUGAGCAGUAUUCUCAGAAAUGUUUAGAAAACGCACAUUUGGCUCAAGCGCUGGAAGCGGAGAGACAGGCAUUGGGACAGUGCCAGCGAGAGAACCAGAAACUGCAUAUACACAACCAGGAACUAAAUCAUCGUCUGAAUGAGGAGAUCACCAGAAUGCACUCCUGCAUCAGUGAAGACAAAUCGACUUCCUCUCUGACACAAGGCAAAGACAUCUAUGAACUGGAGGUUUUGCUGCGAGUGAAGGAGUCAGAGAUCCAGUACCUCAAACAGGAAAUAAACUCUCUCAAAGACGAGCUGCAGUCGGCACUUCGAGAUAAGAAGUAUGCUUCGGAUAAGUACAAGGACAUUUACACAGAGCUGAGUAUCGUCAAAGCUAAAGCUGACUGUGACAUUAACAAGCUGAGGGAGAAACUUUUGGCUGCUACAGAAGCUCUUGGGGAAUUAGACGCUGAAGGAAGUGGUGUUACUGCCGGAUACGACAUUAUGAAGUCAAAGAGUAACCCAGAUUUCCUGAAGAAAGAGAAAUCCAAACAGAUACGUGGGGUCAGGUCAAAGAGUUUGAAGGAGGGACUGACCGUACAGGAGAGGAUGAAGCUAUUCGAAACUAAAGACUCCAGAAAGAUAUAACACACCUCACACACUUUCUUUCUUCCUUUUUUUUGUAUUCUCGCUCUUUUAUUGUCUUCAUUUAGAUCUUCUUGGUUGGUAGCUUUCUGAUUGUGUUUUAAUAUUGUUUGUGUGAAUUAAGGGAAUGACUUCAGUAUUGACACAGACCAUGUUUGCCAACCUUCAGCUCCGAUGAACCUCAUAUUUUUGGUGUUUUUUGGUCUCUAGAGGUCCUGAAGCUGUUCCUCAUCAUCACAGUAUAUAUGAACACACUCAGUAUUGAACUAGAACACUAGACGUGCGUGUGUUUCUCAUUCGAGUUUCUUCUGAAUGGCUGCUGUUGUCUUUGUAGGGGUGCUGGUGACAUUUGUAUGAUUAUUCUGAGAGAAAAAGAAUUGCUGAAUUAUUGACAGAGAGAGAUGUUAUUUUGCCAAUGAUAUUGUAAAUAUGAGUAAAGUCGUGUACGUGAUAACACUUUUUCAGACUUUCUAGUACUGUAACCUUGAGAUGAAAUGACGUGGUUUCUAUAAGUUGGGUAACGUGAGUGCGAGUGUGUUUUGUAGAGUGUUUUUGAUCGUCAAGAGAGUUUCGGGUGAUUAUGUGCUUCAGUCAUUUACUUGAGGAGAAUCUAAUUGCUGUUUUAAUUGCUUUUGUGUUGCUUCUGGUUUAUUCGGACGUGCAAAAUUUAGAGCAACCAAACGUGAUCUCUGCUGUGGGCUGUUUUGGCGUAAAGCGUUCGUUCGGCUACUGAUAGUGAGCUUAUUUCGUCCUGUAAUUCCAUCUGAACGCGGGACAUUUUAAUGAUUUCGUUAUUCCAGCGUUCGUGCUGUUUAAUACUGGCCUUUGCAUGAAUAUAAAGCACUUUGAGUCAUUAAUUUCUGUGUUCUGGUUUUGAAACAUGUGAUUCCAUAUUCCUUCCACUCCAGAAUUCAGAAAGUAUUGAACACACAACAAAGAAAACGCACUGUAUAAUAAUAUUCAAUAUUUGCUUUGUAAAUAAUUGGUUUUAGAGAAGAUUCCUUUAUCUUGUUCUCUCGGUCUGCAUAGAGGAAAAAAAUAUCUUUAUAUCUAUCUAUAAGCGAUAUGUCUACACCUAAUUGCCUAUCUGUAUGAAUAUUUUUAUUUUGGUGUGUGUGAAUUGCUUUCUGAA